rnacentral:rRNA from 1 species
AGAGUUUGAUCCUGGCUCAGAACGAACGCUGGCGGCAGGCUUAACACAUGCAAGUCGAACGCCCCGCAAGGGGAGUGGCAGACGGGUGAGUAACACGUGGGAACAUGCCCAAAGGUACGGAACAACUCCGGGAAACUGGAGCUAAUACCGUAUGUGUCCGUAAGGAGAAAGAUUUAUCGCCUUUGGAUUGGCCCGCGUCGGAUUAGCUAGUUGGUGGGGUAAAAGCCUACCAAGGCGACGAUCCGUAGCUGGUUUGAGAGAACGACCAGCCACACUGGGACUGAGACACGGCCCAGACUCCUACGGGAGGCAGCAGUGGGGAAUCUUGGACAAUGGGCGCAAGCCUGAUCCAGCCAUGCCGCGUGGAUGAUGAAGGCCUUAGGGUUGUAAAAUCCUUUCGCCGAGGACGAUAAUGACGGUACUCGGAGAAGAAGCUCCGGCUAACUUCGUGCCAGCAGCCGCGGUAAUACGAAGGGGGCUAGCGUUGUUCGGAUUUACUGGGCGUAAAGCGCGUGUAGGCGGGUCGUUAAGUUGGGGGUGAAAUCCCGAGGCUCAACCUCNGAACUGCCUUCAAAACUGGCGACCUGGACUCAAGUAGAGGCAAGUGGAAUUGCGAGUGUANAGGUGAAAUUCGUAGAUAUUCGCAGGAACACCAGUGGCGAAGGCGACUU